GAAAAGAACUUUGAAAAGAGAGUUAAACAGUACGUGAAAUUGUUGAUAGGGAAACGAUUAAAGUCAGUCGUACCAGCGGGAAAUCAACCUUUCGAGAGUGGUAUUUUGGAGUUUUGAAGAGUGUUAAAAACCUUUGAGAUUUCAAAAUUUUCGCUUUUUUGGUGUACUUUCUCGUAGGUAGGUUAACAUCGAUUUUUGAUCAUCAUAAAAGGACCGGAGGAAUGUAGCUUCGAUCUCGUAUUGAAGUGUUAUAGACUUUGGUAAAUGUGAUGAUUAGGAUCGAGGAUUGCAACGAAUACC
rnacentral:misc_RNA from 1 species